rnacentral:rRNA from 1 species
CUUAGGACGAACGCUGGCGGCGUGCUUAACACAUGCAAGUCGAACGGAGAUUAUAAUGAAGCUUGCGAUUUAAUAAUCUUAGUGGCGACGGGUGAGUAACGCGUGGGCAACCUACCCAUAAGCGGGGGAUAACAGUUGGAAACGACUGCUAAUACCGCAUAAGCUAUUAAGGUCACAUGACCUUAAUAGUAAAGGUGGCGAUUUUACAUUGCUAUCACUUAUGGAUGGGCCCGCGUCUGAUUAGCUAGUUGGUGGGAUAGCAGCCUACCAAGGCAACGAUCAGUAGCCGGCCUGAGAGGGUGGACGGCCACACUGGGACUGAGACACGGCCCAGACUCCUACGGGAGGCAGCAGUGGGGAAUAUUGCGCAAUGGGGGAAACCCUGACGCAGCGACGCCGCGUGAGCGAAGAAGGCCUUAGGGUCGUAAAGCUCUGUUGUAAGGGACGAAUGUUUAUCUGGCGAACAGUCAGAUAAAGUGACGGUACCUUACCAGCAAGCCCCGGCUAACUACGUGCCAGCAGCGGC